rnacentral:rRNA from 1 species
UAAGGAAUAUUGGUCAAUGGACGCAAGUCUGAACCAGCCAUGCCGCGUGAAGGAUGAAGGUCCUCUGGAUUGUAAACUUCUUUUAUCUGGGACGAAAACGGGAUUUUUAUCUCAAUUGACGGUACCAGAGGAAUAAGCACCGGCUAACUCCGUGCCAGCAACCGCGGUAAUACGGAGGGUGCGAGCGUUAUCCGGAUUUACUGGGUUUAAAGGGUGCGUAGGUGGGCUUAUAAGUCAGUGGUGAAAUCUCCGAGCUUAACUUGGAAACUGCCGUUGAUACUAUAGGUCUUGAAUUAUCUGGAGGUAAGCGGAAUAUGUCAUGUAGCGGUGAAAUGCUUAGAUAUGACAUAGAACACCAAUUGCGAAGGCAGCUUACUACAUAUAAAUUGACGCUGAGGCACGAAAGCGUGGGGAUCAAACA